rnacentral:precursor_RNA from 1 species
GCCGGCUGCAUGGACAGAUAAGAUACUAAUAUAAGAGUACAGAGAGUACAAAUGCUUACAAAUAAAUUAUCAGCUGAGCCGGCUGAGAGAGAGUUCAUGUAUAUAUGUGUGUGGAUCAUAAAAAGCUAAGAGAAGAAGAGGGAGCGUACAGCCUUGGUGAAAAGGGUAGUAGGCGUCGCAAGUACUUCCACCAUCUAACAACUAAACCGCCCAAAGCUGUACUCUCUCUCUUCUCCAUUUAGCCUUCACGAUAUGAUCGUCUAUCGAUCUCCUUCUCUUAGUUGCUCUAGAAGUUGGAUCCCUCUGGGUUUAU